CAUAAAACACCAACUCUGCGGUCCCAACUCUUACACAGAGAGGGCUCUGGAUAGAAUUAGCGUUGUGUUGAUCUUCUCGUCGUCAAUUUGAAUGUGCAAGUUCUGUGAUUUAGUCAUAAAACUUGAAUUUUGACAACAUUUACUAGGAUCUUGCAUGAAAUGGAAGCGUCUCCUGCAAGACUUUAUGAAGGAACAAGUGAAGCCUGUGAAGAGCGUCACAACCCUAAUAUUGACGGCAAG